CCUACGGGAGGCAGCAGUGGGGAAUUUUGGACAAUGGGCGAAAGCCUGAUCCAGCAAUGCCGCGUGAGUGAAGAAGGCCUUCGGGUUGUAAAGCUCUUUUGUCAGGGAAGAAACGGUGAGGGCUAAUAUCCCUUGCUAAUGACGGUACCUGAAGAAUAAGCACCGGCUAACUACGUGCCAGCAGCCGCGGUAAUACGUAGGGUGCAAGCGUUAAUCGGAAUUACUGGGCGUAAAGCGUGCGCAGGCGGUUUUGAAGUCUGAUGUGAAAUCCCCGGGCUCAACCUGGGAAUUGCAUUGGAGACUGCAAGGCUAGAAUCUGGCAGAGGGGGUAGAAUUCCAGUGUAGCAGUGAAAUGCGUAGAUAUGUGGAGGAACACCGAUUGGCGAAGGCAGCCCCCUGGGUCAAGAUUGACGCUCAUGCACGAAAGCGUAGGGGAGCAAACAGGAUUAGAUACCCUGGUAGUCCAGCCCUAAACGAUGUCUACUAGUUGUCGGGUCUUAAUUGACUUGGUAACGCAGCUAACGCGUGAAGUAGACCGCCUUGGGGAUACGNGCAGNUAAACCUUAANGAUG
rnacentral:rRNA from 1 species